GUGCUUGCUUUGGCAGGACACAUACUAAAUCUGAAAUGGUACAGCGAAGAUUAGCAUGGCCCUGUGCAAAGACACGCCAAUUCAUGAAGCGUUCCAUAUUUAA